UAUAAAGAAGUUAGUGAUUUUGUUGCCCAUGUGGCUCUAUAGUCAUCCUGAUCUACUGAAAUUUCACUUUCACGUGGCAGAAGAGAUGGAUGCAUUCAAUAAUGUGUAGAUGUCAUCAACCUGGCAAGUGGUAUCAGAAAUCACAAGGAGACAGAUGCUGGAACGACUCAUACUUUCCUCUCCCUGGAGAAAGAAUUCAUCCUUCCAGUGGCCUCUCUAUAUGUGACAGCUACUGUUUGAUUCCCACUGGGAAGCUGUGGCCACCCCCGUUCUACCUGAACAGAGGGCAGAGGGUCCAGCCCAGGGGCUUGCAAGAUAUC